GACGAACGCUGGCGGCGUGCUUAACACAUGCAAGUCGAACGGAAAGGCCCUGCUUUUGUGGGGUGCUCGAGUGGCGAACGGGUGAGUAACACGUGAGUAACCUGCCCUUGACUUUGGGAUAACUUCAGGAAACUGGGGCUAAUACCGGAUAGGAGCUCCUGCUGCAUGGUGGGGGUUGGAAAGUUUCGGCGGUUGGGGAUGGACUCGCGGCUUAUCAGCUUGUUGGUGGGGUAGUGGCUUACCAAGGCUUUGACGGGUAGCCGGCCUGAGAGGGUGGCCGGUAAAAGUGGGGCUGGGAGCGGGACGAGACGUGGAGGGGGGGGAGAAGGUGGGAGGGUAGCAGAAGGGGCGGUAGGCUGAUGCCGCAGCGCGGGGGGGGGGAUGGCGGUGGUGGGGUGGUACACCGCGAGAGGGUGGGGGGAGGGGUGGGGGAAGGGAAGGGGUAAAGAAAGACAGUAAAAGUAGGUGAGCGCAGCCGCGAUAGUGAAGCGGAAGAACAAACAUCAGAAU
rnacentral:rRNA from 1 species